ensembl:lncRNA
AUUACACGCGCGGAUGUGCAUUACAUGUGUAUUACAUGUGUGGAUGUGUAUUAAAGGUUUAUCACAUGCGUGGAGUUGUAUUACAGGUCUAUUACACACGUGCAGGUGUAUUAGAGGUGUAUUACACGCGUAGAUGUAUAUUACAGCUGUGUUACACGCGUGGAGUUGUAUUACACCUUUAUUACACGCGUGGAUGUGUAUUACAAGUUUACUACACGCGUGGAGGUGAAUUACAGGUGUAUUACACGUGUGGAUGUGUAUUACAGGUUUACUACACGCAUGGAGUCAUAUUACAGGUGUAUUACACGCGUCGAUGUUUAUUACAGGUGUAUUACACACGUGGACCUGUAUUACAGGUUUACUACAAGCAUGGAGUCGUAUUACAGGUGUAUUACACGCGUGGAUGUGUAUUACAGGUGUAUUACACGCGUGGAUGUUUAUUACAAGUAUAUUACACGCGCGGAUGUGCAUUACAUGUGUAUUACAUGUGUGGAUGUGUAUUAAAGGUUUACCACACGCGUGGAGUGGUAUUACAGGUGUAUUACACACGUGCAGGUGUAUUAGAGGUGUAUUACACGCGUAGAUGUAUAUUACAGCUGUGUUACACGCGUGGAGUUGUAUUACACCUUUAUUACACGCGUGGAUGUGUAUUACAAGUUUACUACACGCGUGGAGGUGAAUUACAGGUGUAUUACACGUGUGGAUGUGUAUUACAGGUUUACUACACGCAUGGAGUUGUAUUACAGGUGUAUUAAAUGCGUGGAUGUGUAUUAAAGGUGUAUUACACGCGUGGAGUUGUAUUACAGCGUUAUUACACGCGUGGAUGUGCAUUACAGGUGUAUUACACGCGUGGAGGUGUAUUACAGCUGUAUUACAGGUGUAUUACACUCGUGGAUGAGUAUUACAGGUUUACUACAGCGUGGAUGUGUAUUACAGGUUUACUACACGCAUGGAGUUGUAUUACAGCUGUAUUAUACACGUCGAUGUUUAUUACAAGUAUAUUACACGCGCGGAUGUGAAUUACAGAUGUAUUACACGUGUGGAGUUGUAUUACAGGUGUAUUACAUGCGUGACCCGACACAGCGGCCGCAGGUUCCGUAGGUUCGCACCGCGCCGACGAAGAUGAGGGAAAAUCUUUCGCGGCUGGGACAUCUGAUCCGAGGCAACAACGGGCACCAGCCAGGCAUCGAUGGGCUCCAGAGAGCGCGGAGAAAAGACAUGAUGAGGCACAGAUCCACGUUUGUUCCAAGGAGCCGGGGAAGAGCGCACCAAGUACGCCUUGAGUUUCACGAGCAGACCGCUACGUUUGCCCCGGCGUCUGAAACGCUUUCGCCGUGAGGCUGGGCCAGGGUCCGACAAAGGUUAGCUGGUAUCCCAGCUAGGAAUGGAGGUAACGUCUUAUGUCCAGUAUAAGUUGUAUUGGUAAGAUCACUGGCAACUAGUCGGAGGUCCAACAGAGUUUGGCGAUUGUACAUUAAAAGAGGGUUGACUCUAGCAAUAAAAAAACCAACACAAACAAACACAGCAGGGGAAGAGACAGACGGCGAGCCACACACACUGGCGCCAUCUUGUCUAUUCAUCACGGAACCUUCAUGAAUGGACUUACCCCGGCUGGGGCGGCGGCGACGACGACGACGACGGCUGCUGCUGCUGCUGCUGCUGCUGCUCCUCCUCCUGCUCCUGCUGCUCCAUGCUCUAUCCUCCAUCCUUUGGAAGCCGAAUUUAAAGGCCGCGCUGGCCCUUGUUCUUCUUCAUCUAUCUUUUUAUGGCGGUUGGCAAACAACUUCAGGUGCAUUACUGCCACCUUCUAGACUGGAGUGUGGAUCAGAACAGCUUUUACGUCUAUACUCUCAUGUUGCUCUUAAAAACCCAAAUAUUGCCCUCAGCCAUACUGUUUGUGGCUUUUCAUUUCCUUCCCUGCUCCAAUAACAGCAAAAGGAGUGAGGCACUGAAUGAACUGUAUCAGCACGUCAGUGAGCAGCAGAUGGCCCACCUAGAUGCUUCUCUCGUGCUAGCGGGGGUUUUCAAUCGUGCAGACCCAAAGACUGUGCUUCCCAAACUGCACAAACACAUACAUUUCCCACACGGGGAAACAACAUUUUGGACUAUGUUUUCACCACCCAGAGAGGAGAUUACAAAACAUCUUGCCAAGUGGUGCAGCAACAACAACCUGUCCCUGAAUGUUGAGAAGAGUAAGGAGGUCAUCAUAGACUUCAGGAGAACUCACACCCUGCACACACGACUAACCAUCAGUAGUGCUGCUGUGGAGAGGGUAAAGCAGCACUAAGUUCCUGAGUGUGCACAUCUCAGAACAUCUGAGUGUGUUUGUAAUUGUCUGAUUCAAACAGGCUGCCGAUGUCCAGAUUGGACGAUUGAAUGGACAGCCACCUACCUCUCCUUGUCUCCUCUACAUCCAACAAAGAGCAACCUGUUUGUACUUCUGAGCAUUUGUGUGAAAAUCCUGAGCUGUGGUCUUUUUUGUAACGUGUGAGCCAUUUGUAAUUAAGAUAUGUUGAUUGAGAUAAAAGCACUUAUGUAAAUAGUUGUUGUAAGCGUUCCUUGUAAUUUCUUA